rnacentral:rRNA from 2 species
CAGCCGCCGCGGUAAAACCAGCACCUCAAGUGGUCAGGAUGAUUAUUGGGCCUAAAGCAUCCGUAGCUCGUUUUGUAAGUUUUCGGUUAAAUCCAUACGCUUAACGUAUGGGCUGCCGGGAAUACUGCAUAACUAGGAAGUGGGAGAGGUAGACGGUACUCGGUAGGAAGGGGUAAAUCCUUUGAUCUAUUGAUGACCACCUGUGGCGAAGGCGGUCUACCAGAACACGUUCGACGGUGAGGGAUGAAAGCUGGGGGAGCAAACCGGAUUAGAUACCCGGGUAGUCCCAGCUGUAAACUAUGCAAACUCAGUGAUGCAUUGGCUUGUGGCCAAUGCAGUGCUGCAGGGAAGCCGUUAAGUUUGCCGCCUGGGAAGUACGUACGCAAGUAUGAAACUUAAAGGAAUUGGCGGGGGAGCAC